rnacentral:rRNA from 1 species
CAUAGGUUAAUGAGGCGAACCGGGGGAACUGAAACAUCUAAGUACCCCGAGGAAAAGAAAUCAACCGAGAUUCCCCCAGUAGCGGCGAGCGAACGGGGAGGAGCCCAGAGCCUGAAUCAGUGUGUGUGUUAGUGGAAGCGUCUGGAAAGGCGCGCGAUACAGGGUGACAGCCCCGUACACAAAAAUGCACAUAUUGUGAGCUCGAUGAGUAGGGCGGGACACGUGGUAUCCUGUCUGAAUAUGGGGGGACCAUCCUCCAAGGCUAAAUACUCCUGACUGACCGAUAGUGAACCAGUACCGUGAGGGAAAGGCGAAAAGAACCCCGGCGAGGGGAGUGAAAAAGAACCUGAAACCGUGUACGUACAAGCAGUGGGAGCCUCUUAAUGGGGUGACUGCGUACCUUUUGUAUAAUGGGUCAGCGACUUAUAUUCUGUAGCAAGGUUAACCGAAUAGGGGAGCCGAAGGGAAACCGAGUCUUAACUGGGCGUUAAGUUGCAGGGUAUAGACCCGAAACCCGGUGAUCUAGCCAUGGGCAGGUUGAAGGUUGGGUAACACUAACUGGAGGACCGAACCGACUAAUGUUGAAAAAUUAGCGGAUGACUUGUGGCUGGGGGUGAAAGGCCAAUCAAACCGGGAGAUAGCUGGUUCUCCCCGAAAGCUAUUUAGGUAGCGCCUCGUGAAUUCAUCUCCGGGG